rnacentral:misc_RNA from 1 species
AGUAGCACUUCAAGAGGUACGCUAAAUGUCUAGAUCAUACAAAAUACAUAAAUUGAUACACCAAUGCCUGUGUAGAUGUAUUGUAUUGCAUGCUUACCUUUAUGUGGUGCAUGUAUGCCAAUAAUGAGUAUAGGGAAAUAUUAUAUGAGUAUGAUUUGGUCUAUUCAUGAUAGGUUUAAAUGAAUUCAGUUGUUGGUUUGCUAUUUCUUAUGACAACAGAGGAUUUUUUGGUCCAUUUGU